rnacentral:rRNA from 1 species
CCCUUAGAUGUUCUCGGCCGCACACGCGCUACACUGAAAGAGGCAACGUGUUUGCCUGAUUCGAAAGAAUUGGGUAACCCCCUAAUCUCUUUCGUGCUGGGGAUUGAGGUUUGCAAUUAUCCUUCAUGAACGAGGAAUUCCCAGUAAGUGCGAGUCAUUAUCUCGCGCUGACUACGUCCCUGCCCUUUGUACACACCGCCCGUCGCUACUACCGAUUGAAUGAUUUAGUGAGGACUUCGGACUGGGACCGAUGCGGCUUUCGGGCUGCGUCGGUAUUCUGGAAAGAUGUCCAAACUGUAUCAUUUAGAGGAAGUAAAANUCGUAACA